rnacentral:rRNA from 1 species
ACGCCUAAUACAUGCAAGUCGAACGAAGUAGCAAUACUUAGUGGCAGACGGGUGAGUAACAUGUAGGUAUCUUCCCAUUGGUGAGGAAUAACACGAGGAAACUUGUGCUAAUACCUCAUAAGUCUUCACGGAGAAAGCUUUACGCGCCGAUGGAUGAGCCUGCACUUGAUUAGUUAGUUGGUAGGGUAAUGGCCUACCAAGACAAUGAUCAAUAGCUGAUUUGAGAGGAUGAUCAGCCACAUUGGGACUGAGACACGGCCCAAACUCCUACGGGAGGCAGCAGUAGGGAAUCUUGCACAAUGGGGGAAACCCUGAUGCAGCGAUGCCGCGUGAGUGAAGAAGGCCUUUGGGUUGUAAAGCUCUUUCGUCGGGGAAGAAAAUGACUGUACCCGAAUAAGAAGGUCCGGCUAACUUCGUGCCAGCAGCCGCGGUAAUACGAAGGGACCUAGCGUAGUUCGGAAUUACUGGGCUUAAAGAGUUCGUAGGUGGUUAAAAAAGUUGGUGGUGAAAUCCCAGAGCUUAACUCUGGAACUGCCAUCAAAACUUUUUAGCUAGAGUAUGAUAGAGGAAAGCAGAAUUUCUAGUGUAGAGGUGAAAUUCGUAGAUAUUAGAAAGAAUACCGAUUGCGAAGGCAGCUUUCUGGAUCAUUACUGACACUGAGGAACGAAAGCAUGGGUAGCGAAGAGGAUUAGAUACCCUCGUAGUCCAUGCCGUAAACGAUGUGUGUUAGACGUUGGAAAUUUAUUUUCUGUGUCGCAGCGAAAGCAAUAAACACACCGCCUGGGGA